rnacentral:rRNA from 1 species
AACGAACGCUGGCGGCAGGCCUAACACAUGCAAGUCGAGCGAGGACUCCGGUUCUAGCGGCGGUCGGGUGAGUAACGCGGAGGAAGGUGCCCUUCUCUACGGAAUAGUUCUGGGAAACUGGGAGUAAUACCGCAUACGCUCUAUCGGGGUAAGAUUUAUCGGGGAAGGAUCAGCCCGCGUUGGAUUAGGUGGUUGGUGGGGUAAUGGCCUACCAAGCCGAGGAUCCAUAGCUGGUUUGUGAGGAUGAUCAGCCACACUGGGACUGAGACACGGCCCAGACUCCUACGCGAGGGAGCAGUGGGGAAUCUUAGACGAUGGGGGCAACCCUGAUCUAGCCAUGCCGCGUGAGUGAUGAAGGCCGUAGGGUUGUAAAGCUCUUUCAGCUGGGGAGAUAGUGACGGUACCAGCAAAAGAAGCCCCGGCUAACUACGUG